rnacentral:rRNA from 1 species
UACGAAGGGUGCAAGCGUUGCUCGGAAUUAUUGGGCGUAAAGGGUUGGUAGGUGGUCUUGUUUGUCUAAGGUGAAAUCCCAUGGCUUAACUGUGGAAGUGCCUUAGAAACGGCAAGACUAGAGUCCUAGAGGGGUUUGUGGAAUUCCCGGUGUAGCGGUGAAAUGCGUAGAGAUCGGGAGGAACACCAGCGGCGAAGGCGGCAAACUGGAUAGGCACUGACACUCAACAACGAAAGCGUGGGGAGCAAACAGA